rnacentral:lncRNA from 1 species
AAUUUUCAUAACUUAAAAAAAGCCUUUUAAAAAUAGCAAUAACAAAAUACAUACCUCAGACAUAGUCCAUGAUUAUCAAGUAAUUCCUCAAGACUUUUUUAGUGUUGGUAAAAAGGUUGCUCAGAUUGCAUUUGCUUUUUUUUUCUAACUCAUGGAGGGAGAAUAAGAGGAGUGAGUUAUUUUUGGCAUGGACUUAAAGAAGGAAAUAUCAGUGUGACUGUUAACUGACACUUUUGUCAAGUUCAGUUUCUACCUGAUUGCUUUGAUUUUUUUUUUAUUUCAUUACUUUGGAAGUUAGAGUUCUCGAUAUGAAAUUUCUUAAGAGUGACAUCUCUAACCUUUGGGUUUGAGUAGUGCGUUGCCCCUGAAAUUGGUUGAGUCACUUCAUAUUCUUCUAAGAGUUCACCACCUGUCAAAGCUGAAGAGAUCUGUCCCUUUUGCCUUCUGCUUUCUGAACCAUUUUCUUGCUGGCAAUAGUCUUCUAUUAUUUGUGGCAGGUUUUUCCACGUUUAAGCUGUGAAACCUACCAUGGAGUUUGACCAUUAAAGUGACUUAGGGUUAAAAUAGGCUUUGAGACUUACAAUUCAGUCCAUGAAAGAGUAACUGGUUCAAGACUCUUGUUCACUUCUUUCCAAUUCAUAUCUCUUACAAAGAACUAGAAACUGGGCAAAAUUCAAGAAACUCAAGACUAGGGAUAUAGCUCAGUUGGUAGAGUGCUUGCCUUUGCAUGCACAAGGUCCUGGGUUCAAUCCCCAGCACCACACACAAAAAAUACAUGAAACUUUUCAGACAUUGGGCAGCAGGCAGCUUAGGCAUGUGAUUUCUGAGAGAAAAAGAACAAAUGAAGUGAGCUCUAUAUUCAUCCUAAAUUUUGUUUUACUGUAGGCAGUUUUUAGAUCACAGCCUUGUGAGAGGGAACCAAAGCAGAGGUACAGUUUUGCUGAAUUGAUGAGACAGACAGGAGAACUCAGGGAGGUCUAAGUGGCAGGAAUUAGUGGAGUAGCAUACUGGACUUGGAAAAAUAGCUCCAGAAAUCUGCGUAGAUGUUCCCCUUAUCUUUUCCUGAAUAUGAAUCUUUGCACUUGUCAAGUCAUCAGGCUGGC